AUGAAGAGGGUAGGAAACAUUGCUUCCCUUUUUGCGAGACAUGCUCAGAAGACAAGGAAGAAAGCUAGUACGCCGGAUGUGCAUGGGACCGCGGAUGUGGCCGAAGAGCAAACCAGAGAAUUUGUGGUUCAAGAGCAAACUCAAGAAACAGUGGUGUCUAUGUCAAAUGUCACGGUUGAGCAAACUCCAGAACCAAUGGUUCGACUUGAAGAUGUCUCAACACCACCGUCAGUUUAUGAUUUUAGCCGUCUUAAACAUGAUCCCGGGGAAAGACCACCCAUUGCAAGUUAUCAUGUCAAUGAUCAAGACGCAGUUCGGAGAGCAUAUAUCCUUAAGGCUGCAUUCAAACCUUAUGCACAUAACUUUGAAGCAAGAAGAAUUGGGAAUAGGUUUCGAUCAUUCAGUCCUUUUUGGUUUCAUGAACAUAGUUGGCUUGAAUAUAGUAUCAAGGAGAAAGCUACAUUUUGCUUUGUAUGCUUCUUGUUCAAAGAGAAAAAAACUAGUGGGAAGGGAACUAAUGCAUUUACUGAUGGUGGUUGGAGAAAUUGGAAUAGAGAUGAUGCUCUUGAUAAGCAUGUUGGUGGUGUAACAAGUGUGCACAAUGCAGCUCAAGAGAAAUAUGACUUAUUUGUGAAUCCCCAUGCAACAAUUAAUGAUCCUCUUGUGAAGGUGGAUAGUGAGGAUCUACGUCUUUAUAGGAUGAGGUUGAAGUAUUCACUUAGAUGCUUGCAGUUUCUUCUUCAUCAAGGAUUGGCAUUUCGUGGGCAUGAUGAAAGUGAACAAUCUAGCAACAGGGGAAACUUCAUUGAGCUAUUGAAGUGGCUUGCAAUAAAUAGUGAGGAGGUGAAUAAGUAUGUCUUGAAGAAUGCACCAGGUAAUUGCAAAUUGACUUCUCACCAGAUACAAAAUCAGAUUAUUCAAUGUUGUGCAGUACAUACUAGAAAUCAAAUUAUUGAACAAGUUGGUGAUGAUCAUUAUGCUAUUCUAGCUGAUGAGUCUAGUGAUGUAUCACAUAAAGAACAACUAGCUCUAUGUUUGCGUUUUGUUGAUAAAGUAGGAAGGCCAAGUGAGCACUUUCUUGGAGUUGUUCAUGUAAGUGACACCAUUGCAUUGUCACUCAAGGAAGCAAUUCAAACUUUACUUGCCAAUCAUGGUUUGACUAUAACUCAAAUUCGUGGGCAAGUUAUGAUGGGGCUAGUAACAUGA
rnacentral:rRNA from 1 species